CUGGUUUCAUUUUAUUCUUGUGGGAGUGUCAACCUUUCAGCACUAGUUACUUCAUACAAAUUUCCCAUCUAUGUGUUCAUCAGUACAGAAUGAUGAUAUAGUGGAUUUUACAGGAACCCCCUCACUAUAUCUUCACAUACACUUAAAUAAAUGCUUCAGAAGCAGUUUUGUCAUGAUAGUGACUCUUGGUGUAGUCUGUAUUAUCCAGGCCUAGAGGUCUUUAUUGUAGGAUCUUAAGAACUUGUAAAUAUAGAUUCUCACCUUCUUUGGUGACUGUGCUGGUAAGAUUGGUGGUACCAUGCAUCAAAGAGCUCAAGUGAAGUCAGAAAACUGCUUAUUGAAAUCAGAUAACGGAAAGGGUAAUGUUGAGAAAUAAGAGAGUGCAUGAGAAUGAAUGACUGAUAUUACAGCUAAUGACUGUAUCAGCUCCCAACCAUCUCUGCUUUAAAUUAAUCAGCUGAAACUCAUGUGUCUGUACCCAUGCUUUUUGGGACUUGAAUCCCAAUCCACUCUUGUGAGGUGAUUACACUCUACAACCCAUAACUGGAUUAUUCUCUCUCUCUCUGUGGCAACAGGAAAGAUGACUCACACAAUUGAUGGGAUUAUCAGAUUAAUUUCCUCCAUUCCAGAUUAGAUUCAUUUGAGACUCUAUUGGGUAGAUCUAGAACAUAUAAUUUAUCCAGCGAUAUUUUAUAGUAUUUUGAGGAUUACUAUGUUUGUGUAAUGGUAUGACUAGAACCCAAGAACCUUUUGGUUUUGUUCCUGCCCUUUCCCCAUAUAUCAUGGAGGGUUUUAAUUUGAACAAGCUGAUGAAAGACUUGUUCGUCAACAUGGUGUAGGGUAUUUCUUCUUCCUCACAUCUAC